rnacentral:rRNA from 1 species
UACGUAGGGUGCGAGCGUUACUCGGAAUUACUGGGCGUAAAGCGUGCGCAGGCGGUUGUGCAAGACAGAUGUGAAAUCCCCGGGCUUAACCUGGGAAUGGCAUUUGUGACUGCACGGCUAGAGUGUGUCAGAGGGGGGUAGAAUUCCACGUGUAGCAGUGAAAUGCGUAGAUAUGUGGAGGAAUACCGAUGGCGAAGGCAGCCCCCUGGGAUAACACUGACGCUCAUGCACGAAAGCGUGGGGAGCAAACAGG